rnacentral:lncRNA from 1 species
UUCUACUUUCUGAGGUUAAAGAAGGCAGAUUCUUUCCUGUGACACUUGUUUGUUCUUCAUCACCAUUUUAAUUUGCAUUAGAAUGUACAUACACUCAAGGAUAAUCUUAAACUCAGUAAGGGAUCUUCAGCAGAUGAACAGAAAUGGAGAGCUUGAGGGGGCAUCUGGGAAUAUAACAUAAUAGAAAUACGACUCUCUCAUUUGGAAUCAGCAGUACUCUGAGGGCUCUGACUGCUGGAGUUAACUGUGUCUACGCCUCAAACAGGAAAACAAGCCCAUGAGGGCUUAAGAAGGGAAGGUUACUGAGUUUUUCUGCUCUGUUUAGAACUCCUGGCCCUCCUCCCUUCUAGCAGAAGAUCGUCCCAGCCUGAAGUGAGGCUAAGAACCACUGUAAAACCACUUAGACCAUAUAUUUACUUUCAGAAUUAGGUGAUGACGUCAGUCCAUGCUUCGGAAAUAGUUGUUUGCGAGGGAAGACGGCUCAACCAGCAAACACCUAAAGGGCUUUUGAAACUCUCUAAAUACAAGUUUUUAGAAACGACGAGGCAUUGAAAACUUACCACAUGACCUUGUGCAAGUUGCUUAACACCACUAAGCCGCCCUGUCUUCUCAGUUUUAAUCGGGGAUAAUAUUGCAUCCUCUUAAAGAGUUUUUUUGAGAGGAUUUGAUGAGAAACUAUGUAAGUCACUUAGUAUGCUGCCUGGAAUGUAGCAAGAACUUGAUCAAUGAUAAACUAUUAUGGAAGUUUUUUUGUUUUAUUUUUUUUAAUCUUUAUCAAUUAGUUGUGAUUCUUUGAUCCUGUACCCUUCAACUUCUUUUUUUUUUUUUUUUGAGACAGAGUCUCACACUGUCGCCCAGGCUGGAGUACAGUGGAGCGAUCUCGGCUCACCGCAACCUCCGCCUCCCGGGUUCACGUGAUUCUCCUGUCUCAGCCUCCCGAGUUCCCGAGUAGCUGGGAUUACAGGCACACGCCACCAUGCCUGGCUAAUUUUUGGUAUUUUUACUAGAGGCGGGGUUUCACGGUGUUGGCCAGACUGGCCUCGAACUCCUGACGUUGUGAUCCGCCCACCUCCACCUCCCAAAGUGCUGGGACCACAGGCGUGAGCCACUGCACCGGCCACCCUUCAACUUCUUUAAAAAGUCAUGUUGGUUUGGUUUCAUUUCAAACUAUUCUAUCCCUCUUUAAAGGUAUUUGAAUGUAGAACAUUGUUAAGAAAAUGAACGAGGAUCUUUUCUACAUGAGCGCCAUAUUCUAACAAACUUAUCAAACUGCACUGGUGUUAUGUGUGAUAAGCCACAAGUCUGGGAAUCCUGGCACUAGAGCUGUCCAAGGGCUGCUGCUGCUGGUAUAAGCAGCUGUGAAUCUCCAGGUGAUCUACUAGUGCCCCGCUCCCUAAAGGAGGGAGGUGCAGGAUUUUCUCUACUAAGGGAAAGCAGCCAGGAGAAACCAUCUUACUCUCCCUGGAGCAUUGGGAGAGCAUCAGGCGUGUUCCAUGGACAGUGAGAGCCAAUGAAAGCAUAAUCUACUCACUGCAUCCUGGGGAUCGCUGAGCUUAUGCCCUUGAGCUUCAUAGAUGGUGACUCCCAGAAUCUCUCUGCAAUGUCCUUGGAGAAUGGCUGUUGGGUGAUCGAUGAUGCAGGAACUUCACAGUUGUACAGAGCUGUGUAGUCCUCCCAGGGAGGUUCAGAGACUUGCAAUAGUCAAAGUACAUGACUUCUUGGAGAGUAAACGACAAUAACAUAAGAAUGUGUGAGGG